rnacentral:sRNA from 1 species
GUGAUCCUUGAUGAGUUGAUCUUGGAUUUCCUUGGUCAUUCCAUCCAGAGGGAAGUACUUUCCAGCGAGCUCUGGGUCAGUGAUGUUGUCAAAGAUAGCCUUGACCUUGGAUUCCAUCUCGAGGUAGUUGGCCUCAGAAAGGCAUGGGUUGAAUGG